GAAGUUAUCAAGUAUUUGAAGUACCAACUCCAACAAGGGUUCGGAAAGUCAUGAAAACAAAAGAACAAAGACAGUAUGAAUUAAGCCCUAAGAUGGAUCCAAGGGUAUAUGAUGAAAGCAGCCAUCAGGGUUUGAAAUUCAAUGUCUGUACGAUCCAUUAUGAGGACGAGGUAGUACGGGAAAGGACUGCCCAAGCUUCGGAUUCAUUAAGAAAAUCUAUUCUCGAAAAGCAUGUGGGGAAGAAAUAUGUGGAGGUAUUAAAAAUCUUAUAAACUAUGUUACUAAGCCUUUCUUGAACAGUCACCAUAUUAUUAACCGGACACAACACAACUCAUCUGCGUAUACUAAAAUAUGAAAAUGUCGAUGCUGAGAAUAUCCUAAAACUGUUUAUUUCCCAUCUUCAUUAUCCGAAUUUUUUAAAUGAUUAAAGACAGCUGCCUUUGGAAUCUUCGGUUACUGUUACAGAGCUUGAAGAUGUGGAAUAUUUGUAGUUUGCGGUUAAUGCCAUGCUUUAUCUGAGGCAACUAAUGCGUUUUAUUAAGUUUCGAUUGCAUUAAAUUGCAUUUAUGGACCCACGGUUGAGGUUACUUAAGAAUGACAUAUCUUACAUGCAAGAAAAUUUGAUUAUUACAUUAAUGAAAUUCUGUGUUACUGGAAAAAAGCAUAAUGCUCCUAACAAAUACUGAUAGCAAAGUGAAAAAUAGAGCAUAAACAAUGUAUGAUUAUAAUACAUAUAUUUAUUUUGGCCGUCUAUACACAAA